rnacentral:antisense_RNA from 1 species
CUUCAGGGAUCCGAGGUACAGCGGCCUGUCCGAGGUGCGGUCGCGUCCGUAGGUGGCGAGCAGGGCCUGUGCCUC